AUGGAAGCUUGCAAGCCGCCGCGCUAUUCUCAUCUUUGGUUAGAAACAGUUAGGGAUAUAUGGAAUUCUGUUGGUGAUCCUAAUGUUUAUCAUUUGUUUAUCUUAAAAGUUAGUCUAAUGAUGUGGACCUAUUCUCUGUCAAGGUUAAGUGGUGCAGGGUUGGAAUUGAACGUGACGGAGCAAGAGCAUGGCACAAAGGUGAAUUAA